rnacentral:rRNA from 1 species
CAGUCUGGUGCCAGCAGCCGCGGUAAUUCCAGCUCCAAUAGCGUAUAUUAAAGUUGUUGCAGUUAAAAAGCUCGUAGUUGAACCUUGGGCCUGGCUGGCCGGUCCGCCUCACCGCGUGCACUGGUUCGGCCGGGCCUUUCCCUCUGGGGAGCCUCAUGCCCUUCACUGGGUGUGUUGGGGAACCAGGACUUUUACUGUGAAAAAAUUAGAGUGUUCAAAGCAGGCCUAUGCUCGAAUACAUUAGCAUGGAAUAAUAGAAUAGGACGUGUGGUUCUAUUUUGUUGGUUUCUAGGACCGCCGUAAUGAUUAAUAGGGACAGUCGGGGGCAUUAGUAUUCAAUUGUCAGAGGUGAAAUUCUUGGAUUUAUUGAAGACUAACUACUGCGAAAGCAUUUGCCAAGGAUGUUUUCAUUAAUCAGGAACGAAAGUUAGGGGAUNGAAGACGAUCAGAUACCGUCGUAGUCUUAACCAUAAA